GUAAAGGCCCAGGGGAAGGAAGGAGGUGGUGGAUGCUGGAGAGGGUCGCCAUGGAAGGUAACAAAAAGCCCUGUGGACAAGUUUGGGACUUAGACAAUAGGGACAUCAGCGGACGAUUUUAAGGCAGGGGGUUGAUUUGAACCGAUUGUUUUUACAAGUUCCCUCUGGUUUCAGAGAGACGAGAGGAUUGGCGGGACCAGGCUGGAGGCGGAGACAGACAAAUAUAAAAAAAAGCAAGAAAAUAUACGACAGCAGCUAAUGCUUCUCCCGGGACUGGGUUAGCCUCCUCCUUUUAUUCUCUCGCACCCCGUUAUCAAAGAAGUUAUACCACUCAUGUACAAAUGGAGAAACUGAGGCGGGAGGCCUCCUCUUUUGCCGUGAGACACCUCCGCCAAGGGGAACGCAGGCCCUGCCUGGAACCGGCUGAUUUCCCCGUGCCCCCACCCACCCACCCACCCGACCCCAUACACCCAUCCACUCCAACCCCAGGAGAAGAUGCGGGGGCCGGGGACUUUCUUUUAAAAAAUCAAAAAACAGCGCUGCAUUUCCGGCCUGCGAACGGGCUGCCGGCGGGGCGCGCGGGGAGGGAGUCUGUGGGCGUGGGUGAAGUUUUUCUGCUCCGCCCUGAGGCCCCCCAUCCGGACACAAACACACGGACAGCGCCCCGCGGCUCCUCCUCCCCCAGAUGCGGCCAAUCGUGCGGCGCCAGGACGACUCCCUCCGCCCCAACAUCCCCCGCAACCCGGGUCCCACCGCCCGCGCCCGCCGCCCCGGCUGGGGUCCGCGCACCUCCCCGCUCCGCCCCGAGAGGCCCCCACUCGCGGUCCAGCCCACGGGCAAACCGAGGGGAGGCUGUCCCUGCACGCCGCAAGCGCUGCCGGACGUCCGCCCCAAAUCCCUCCGGCUGCGGCCACACCCGCCCCCUUCCCGGGGAUGAGUAACCUGCUCUCCCCAGACUGGCCGCGGCGGCCCGGGCAUCUCCUCCGGGCCUAGCGACCCAGCCCGGACCCCCACGCCGGCGGAGCCCCAUGCAAGAGGGGGCUGGAUGCGGGCGGCGGCCACAAGGCCACAAGGCGGCCGAGGUCCGGUCCGCGCUCCCGCCGCCCCGGAGAGGACACCCCGCCACACCCCUCUGGGGGACCCGGAGAAGCUCCCCUACCUGCGACCCGCUCCGCUUCGCCAGCAGCUCGGCUCUGACUGUGAGAGCUGAGGGGCCGGGAGGGGGCGUGGUCCGCGGGGCGGGGCUACCCGAGGCCCCGCCCCCAGGGCCCCCCAGCCAAUGGGGCGGCGGGCCGGACCGCCCGACGGCCUGGAAGCGCGCGCGCGCGGCUGCGCCGGCGGGAGUUUUGGGUCUGAGCGCGGGACCGGGGAGGGCGCGGGACGCCGGGCGGGCCGGGCAGCCGUGGGGAUGCCCGCCCGCGCAGCACCGCAGGUCGGAGAAGUCCCCUGAAGAGUGGAGGGCCUGUGCGGGUCCCGCCCGUAAGCACCCGCUGCGGGUCCGGCCCGAAGCUGACCUUCGCUCCCGAAUCCGGAAGGCCCCGGGCGCCUCCAUCUUGACGGAGAGAAAGAGCUCCGGGAACGGCGAGAAGGAACGAGAAGAGAGGAGAGGACACUGAGGCACAGAGAAGCGAUACCUCCCUGCCCCCACCUGGUCACAGCAAGUCGCAGCAAGAGGAGCCCCUUAAAAGCAAGCCCAGUGCUGGACCGAGGCUCAGACAGAGCUCACCGGAAGAGCGUUUGGAGCAGGAACAGCAAGUGCAAAUGCCUAGGGGCAGGAUGGAAUAGGACAGAACAGAAGCAUGCAGAAGGGAUCAGACAACAAG